rnacentral:rRNA from 1 species
UUGAACGCUGGCGGAAUGCUUUACACAUGCAAGUCGAACGGCAGCACGGACUUCGGUCUGGUGGCGAGUGGCGAACGGGUGAGUAAUAUAUCGGAACGUAUCCAAUAAUGGGGGGAUAACUAAUCGAAAGGUUGGCUAAUACCGCAUACGCCCUACGGGGGAAAGCUAGGGACCUUCGGGCCUGGCGUUAAUGGAGCGGCCGAUAUCUGAUUAGCUAGUUGGUGGGGUAAAGGCCCACCAAGGCGACGAUCAGUAGCUGGUCUGAGAGGACGACCAGCCACACUGGAACUGAGACACGGUCCAGACUCCUACGGGAGGCAGCAGUGGGGAAUUUUGGACAAUGGGCGCAAGCCUGAUCCAGCCAUUCCGCGUGAGUGAAGAAGGCCUUCGGGUUGUAAAGCUCUUUCGCAAGGGAAGAAAACUUAGAUACUAAUAUUAUCUGAGGUUGACGGUACCUUGAUAAGAAGCACCGGCUAACUACGUGCCAGCAGCCGCGGUAAUACGUAGGGUGCGAGCGUUAAUCGGAAUUACUGGGCGUAAAGCGUGCGCAGGCGGUUUUGUAAGUCAGAUGUGAAAUCCCCGAGCUCAACUUGGGAACUGCGUUUGAAACUACAAGACUAGAAUAUGUCAGAGGGGGGUAGAAUUCCACGUGUAGCAGUGAAAUGCGUAGAGAUGUGGAGGAAUACCAAUGGCGAAGGCAGCCCCCUGGGAUAAUAUUGACGCUCAUGCACGAAAGCGUGGGGAGCAAACAGGAUUAGAUACCCUGGUAGUCCACGCCCUAAACGAUGUCUACUAGUUGUUGGUGGAGUAAA